rnacentral:rRNA from 1 species
GCAGGGGAUAAGCCACCGAAAGGUGGUCUAAUACCGUAUGUGAUUUCAAGAGGCAUCUCUUGAUGAUUAAAGGGGGGGACCUUCGGGCCUCCCACUUCUGGAUGGGCUCGCGGCCUAUCAGCUAGUUGGUGAGGUAAUGGCUCACCAAGGCAACGACGGGUAACUGGUCUGAGAGGAUGAUCAGUCACACUGGAACUGAGACACGGUCCAGACACCUACGGGUGGCAGCAGUCGAGAAUCAUUCACAAUGGGCGAAAGCCUGAUGGUGCGACGCCGCGUGGAGGAUGACAGCCCUAGGGUUGUAAACU